CUUCAGCGGCAAGACUAAAGUCGCCAAUGAGAACUAUCAGGUCAAGGUAAUAGUAGGCCCGGGACACGGCAUCUACGAGGCGUCGGUGACUUAUAAUAUAAAGAAGGACAAGUUCACGAUACACACGAGGGAUAUAUCGAGGACUAAUGCUUACAGGAGCGAACCGGACUGCAUCAGCAAGGCGCAUCCACACCUAAACCCGUACUGCUACUGCCGCUGACAUCCGCCAGAGAAACAUAGUACAGUCGCCAUUAGAUAUAUCGGAGCGGUCGAGGCGCUCACAAAU